GUGCGCUGUGUGGGGGCUCCUCACAGCACCGCUCUGGCGCGUCCUGUCCCGUCGCGUGCACUGAGCACUGGGGCAUGGCCCUGUCACCGCACUGGGACAGCCCCUAUGUCACCAUGUGUCACAAAGGGCCCUUGGACACCCUGUCCCUUUCCAUUCCACGGUUACCAUUCUGCACCGUGUCACAAAGGGCCCUUGCAGACACUGCCACCUGCCCCGGUUCCGCCCCCAUCCCCCCCAAAGUGGCCCAGGUUGGAAGGAAUCCCUUGCCCAAAGUGUCUAAGACAGCCUGACAGGAUCUUUAGGAACACCUCAAACCAUCAGCAAACGCUGCCCUGCUCUGCAGGCUCAGGGCAGCAGAAGGAGCCCCCAGGGCUGCCGACGCAGGCGCAGCAGGAAGGGCACGGGGCCUUGCACAGAAUCUGUACAGGGGCCUGGCAGCACUGAAAUCAGCAGGUGUGGCAGAGUCCCCACCGAGGCAGACCUGCCACCCCAGCCGAGCCCUGGCAGUGCUGGUGCCCUUCUCCUGCCCCAGAGACCUGUGCCCCUGGGGGGUUUCUGUGCCAGAGGGCCAAAGCCAAAGCCCACGUGCAUUGGGGGCUGGGCUCCUUCCUGCAGGGGUCUUGGCAGGAACAUUUGGAACAACUGCUGGCAACUCUUAGUCUUGGUCAGAUUAAUUACAUUAAUUGGAAUUAUUUUCCCAUUGAAGUCAUUUCAUGCACCUCAAAAAACAUCUUUGUUGGGAAGGCACAGAAGGAUCUGGCAGACUUCACCAAUUAAUUGGAGUGGCCGGAGAAUGUGAAAGAUGUGCAAGUUUGCUUCCCAUCUCAAAGCAGCAAGUCCUUUGCCUUAACAUCAUCCUUUGAGAGUCACAUUACAAAAUAUAACACUGCACAGAGGCUAAAAAAAGGCCAUUCUUUGGUUUGCAAACCUUUGCUUUUCUAUGGAGGGAUGAUAAUAUCCUAAUUCUCUGAAGGAUUAAAGCUCUCAAGGAAACAAAGUCCACUCAGUAUUACAAAAGUAGUCCAAACAAUUGAGUCGAUUGCAAAAAGGCUAAUCCUCCCCCUGGUACAGAUAUCUAGGUGGCCAAUAAAUUUCAGCUCUCCCCUCUUCUUUUUUGCAUGAGAACCAGGACCACUAACAGGAAAAGUCACACAUAUUCCUUAUGUCCUCCAUAAGCAAGGCUGUGCUAAACCACGGAUGAUGCUGUUAAACUGACUCAAAUUCCAGCCUAGACCUCUCACUUCCAGGCAACUCCUUCCCCAACACACCCACCAAUACCAACACCCCCCAAAACAUGCUCACAGAACUCCUCAACACCCCACCAGGACCCCCAGCUGUUCCCAUCCCUCCACAGAGCUUUCCCACCCUCCAGCAGACCCCCUGGUUCCCUGCACAUGCCGUGGCAUGGCACUCAGCAGGAUCUGCUCCAAGGCCUUCCACGGUAGCAAGCUCAGGCUGCCAGGCCAAUGGUUCCUGGAUCAUCCUUCCCACUGACCCUUCCUGUGCACGGCUCUUCCAUUUACACAUUUGAGCUCAGCUUGGACUUCUCCCCUUAAGCAGGAUUGCUGGGAAAGGAUGGAGAGCAGCCUGGCAAGCUCUUUCUCCAGCUCCCUCUUUACUCUUGGGGCAGCUAGAACAUUGCACAGGAAAGCAACUGGUGCCACAAGGAGCGGGUGACGUCAGGGGAGAUCACUCAGGACUGCUGUAUCCUGAGGGAACACCGCUGGGCUUGGCCUCUGGGUACCUGCACAAACGUCAAGUCAGCCGCCUUAGUUUCCAGGACAGCCCUGUGCGGGCCAGCAUCCUGAUGUGGAUGCAGGACUGCUGCAAGGCGCUGCUGGGAGCCAGCAGGACAGGACUGGCUGUCUUGUUUACAUGUUGAAAAUGAGUGAGAUUGUAUUUAGCUAGAAAUUUAGGGAUCCCUGAAUUUGAUAAGGAGCUGAGCCAUUAUAAGCUAAGAAUUUAUUUUUUUUUUAUUCUGUAUUUUAGCUAAUUUUUAGCAUUUGAUUUUGUUUCAAUACAGCAAAGUAGAGGCCCUUCUUUUGGUUUAGAUUCUUUGGGGAAUUGUUUCCCAUCUGAAAGGAAGACUCUGUGAAGGCAGCGGUUGUCCGGGCCACAAAUACAGGUCAUGAAGAAACAAAAGACGUGGCCGAGGCCUCCUACAUCCCACACUAAGGAGUCAGCCAAGGGAAAGGAGCUUUUGGGAGUCGUGCCUGGGGGAGGAGGGACAGGCAGUGGGGUUAUGGCUGUCUCUUAGCUGGGGGACACGGCUCAAAGGGCAGAUGGUUGAGGUUUUGGUGUUGGACUGCUGCUGCCCAGAGGAUCCACUGCUACUGCAGAACUUUUCCAUCUCUGUGUCUCUUUAAUGUGGGUGAGCCUCUGCUCCCAGGUGUGGCCAUGUAACUGGGUCCUUUCAAUACCCAAUCACUCUGGGAGGGAUCCUCACCAUGUGCUUGGGUGCCUGAGGGGAAAACAGGGACCCCGACCACCUCUGUAAGGGAGCGUUUCAAGGCUGCUUGUGGGAGCCCAGCAGCUGCUGCUGUUGCCAGGGCAUUACACAGGUGACAGCCAGGGAACACCCAAAAACAAAGCCCCCCUCCACCUUUUUUUUCUCCUUCCAGGGCUGCCCAGACCCUGCUGUUUCUGCUGCUGCUCUGGAUUUUUAGUACACUUCUAGCUCAACAUCUCUGGGUCUGCCCAGCCUCAUGCUGCUCCUGCCACAGCUUUGAGCUCAUUGCUAAACUGUUUGCCACCCCGGGCCUGCACUCCUCUGCAGUUCCAUCCUGGCCCCUCCAGGUUCCUGCUAUAGUCCAUGUCACCAACUUUAUAUCGCCCCACAUUUGGGUGCCUAAACGACUGCAGUGGGUCGACCCUGGCUGGGUGCCAGGUGUCCACUGUCACUCUGUCACUGUCUUUCCCACUGGGACGGGGAAGAGAAUAAGACAGAGAACAGCCAGCAGGGUGAGAUAAGGCAGUUUUAUUACAGUAAAAUAAAGAACUAAGCAGAGAUCUGUGCUUGCAUGGGCUGAAGAGAAAAAAGUCACUCUCUACUUCCCAUCUGAUGUUUGGACAUUUUCUGAAAAGAAAGGCUUCCGCAUGUGUAACAGUUCCUCCAAAAGGCAAACAGUGGAAACUCACAAAUGCCCCCCACUUCCUCUUCUCUCCCUCAGAUUACCUCUCUGAGCUGUUGUCAUAAGGUAUGGAAUAUCCCUUUGGCUAAUUUGGGUCAUUUGGCUUGGUUGUGUCCUCUCCUAGGAUCUUGCCCUCUCCAAUCCCCUUUGAUGGGAGAAGGAAUGUCAGAGGGACAGCACUGCCAGGCAGUUGCCAAAACACUGGUCUGUUCUCAACACCUGCCUAGGUACUGAAAUAAAUUGGGCAGGACUAGAGGUCCUCUUUUAAUGCUUUUAUUCCAAGAAUCAGCUUGGGUGCGGGCCCGAGGGGUCGCACACACUGCCACUGCUCCCAGAUUCCACACGCAGGAGGAGGAGGUUGACUUUGCCACACGGCAGAGUCGGAGCUUCUGUCCUCACAGGAGUCUGCAGGAAUGCUCGUCUUCUUUGGCUUGGAGUCUAGGAUGUCACCCUGGCCGAGUUCCCUUUGGUCAUUUCAGUUUUUAGGAAGAAGUCAGGGGACCCCUCUGCGUCUUCCUCGUUCGGUGGUGCUGUCUUGAUUUCUUCUAUUUAGUGCGGCUCGCUGUUUCGGGUUCUUAUCGGUCUGUGUGUGUCCUGUGUGUCUCUGGUCUCCCUCAUUUACAUAUAGGCGCUUAUGUCAUCCUCCUCCUCAGGGCCGAGGAUGCCAGUCUGGGGAGCAGUGGUGGCGAUCUCCCGACGGGACAGGGAUAUGACAACGAGGUUUAUGUUUCAGCCUGAGAGAAGAACAAAUUUCAGAGGACUGGGAGCACCUUUUGGAAUGGCUGCAGACUCUGUUGUGUUCACUUUCCACAGAAGAACACCGAGGGCCAUGAAGACCAGAUAAACCAUGAUAAUACUAGUAUUAAAUAGUAAGUACUUACUAUGGUAAGAUACUUGUCUGCAUCUUACCACAACACCAUGGCCAAAACUCGGCUGAGUGGCCGUGGUCUGAAGCUACCAUCAGGUACACCUGAUGUGUUCUAGGAUCCUACCCCAGAAGCCGUCACCCAAACCUAGUGACCGUAGUACUACACGACUCUUGAGGUACAUACCGUCAAAAUGACUGGGGUUGGGACCGAAAAGAUUGGCCCAGAGUGAUAACUGGAACAAUUGGUGAAGAAAUUAAGGUAGGAUGCAGAAAAGUGGAAAAGUCUCCUUAUGAGAAAGCUUCCACCGUUGCAAUCGUUGGAAAUUUUCUAGAAUCAGAUGUGACAAGCAAUUUGCACCCCAACAUCAUGGCAGAACUCUGCGCCACAGCAGAGUGGUCAUGGAACAAAUAAUCCCCCCUCAUACUGUGUUGUCAUCAGAAAAAUAUUAGUUACUAUACCCUGGACCCCUGUACCAACAAGGUGGAAAUUACAAAGCUUUGUAAAAACCAAUCUACUGACUGACUGUUGGUAUCAUUUCACUUGAACCAAAUCAACCUCUGUAACAUGUAAUUGGCAAAAUGACCUGACACAUCAGUCAGGUCUGAAAGGUCUAAUUCAUAGACUCAAAAUCAAUGCAGUGGCACUGAGUGCAGUAAUCACAUACCAUGGUGUAAGCACCCCCCAGUGCUGGAUGACAAACAUAAUGUUUUCCCUCCCUUUAUGGGAAUGCAAGGUGAUGAUGUGACAAUAACCUGAAAAUUAAUUGCUGAAUCCUCAUUGAACCUGUAUACAGUUAUGGCACAGGACCUCAUGGCCAUGUUCUGUUUUGUGAAAUUCAAAAUCAGAAUUGUUGGCUAAAGCUGACUGAUGUACAAUUUUCCCAUCAAAUCGUGUGUGGGAAAAACAAAACCAAAUACUGGGGAGAACUUGAUGUCAAUGUUGUAACACCUACACCUACCACCACCCAACCUCUGAU